rnacentral:rRNA from 1 species
GAGUUUGAUCCUGGCUCAGGAUGAACGCUGGCGGCGUGCCUAACACAUGCAAGUCGAACGAAGCAAUCGGGAUGAAGUUUUCGGAUGGAUUCCUGGUUGACUGAGUGGCGGACGGGUGAGUAACGCGUGGAUAACCUGCCUCACACUGGGGGAUAACAGUUAGAAAUGGCUGCUAAUACCGCAUAAGCGCACAGUACCGCAUGGUACGGUGUGAAAAACCCAGGUGGUGUGAGAUGGAUCCGCGUCUGAUUAGCCAGUUGGCGGGUAACGGCCCACCAAAGCGACGAUCAGUAGCCGACCUGAGAGGGUGACCGGCCACAUUGGGACUGAGACACGGCCCAAACUCCUACGGGAGGCAGCAGUGGGGAAUAUUGCACAAUGGGCGAAAGCCUGAUGCAGCGACGCCGCGUGAGUGAAG